CUACGGGGCGCUGCAGUGAGGAAUCUUCCACAAUGGAGGAAACUCUGAUGCAGCAACGCCGCGUGGAGGAUGACACUUUUCGGAGCGUAAACUCCUUUUAUAUAGGAAGAAGAUGACGGUACUAUAUGAAUAAGCGCCGGCUAACUCCGUGCCAGCAGCCGCGGUAAUACGGAGGGCGCAAGCGUUACUCGGAAUCACUGGGCGUAAAGAGCGUGUAGGCGGAUUAAAAAGUCAGAAGUGAAAUCCUAUAGCUUAACUAUAGAACUGCUUCUGAAACUCUUAAUCUAGAAUAUGGGAGAGGUAGAUGGAAUUUCUGGUGUAGGGGUAAAAUCCGUAGAGAUCAGAAGGAAUACCGAUUGCGAAGGCGAUCUACUAGAACAUUAUUGACGCUGAGACGCGAAAGCGUGGGGAGCAAACAGGAUUAGAUACCCCCGUAGUC
rnacentral:rRNA from 1 species